AUUGAACGCUGGCGGCAUGCUUUACACAUGCAAGUCGAACGGUAACAGGUCUUCGGAUGCUGACGAGUGGCGAACGGGUGAGUAAUGUAUCGGAACGUGCCCAGUAGUGGGGGAUAACUACUCGAAAGAGUGGCUAAUACCGCAUGAGAACUGAGGUUUGAAAGCGGGGGGACCUUCGGGGCCUCGCGCUACUGGAGCGGCCGAUAUCAGAUUAGGUAGUUGGUGGGGUAAAGGCCUACCAAGCCGACGAUCUGUAGCUGGUCUGAGAGGACGACCAGCCACACUGGGACUGAGACACGGCCCAGACUCCUACGGGAGGCAGCAGUGGGGAAUUUUGGACAAUGGACGCAAGUCUGAUCCAGCAAUGCCGCGUGCAGGACGAA
rnacentral:rRNA from 1 species